rnacentral:rRNA from 1 species
UACGUAGGGGGCGAGCGUUGUCCGGAAUCAUUGGGCGUAAAGAGCGUGUAGGCGGUCAGGUAGGUCCGUUGUGAAAACUCGAGGCUCAACCUCGAGACGCCGAUGGAAACCAUCUGACUAGAGUCCGGAAGAGGAGAGUGGAAUUCCUGGUGUAGCGGUGAAAUGCGCAGAUAUCAGGAAGAACACCCGUGGCUAAGGCGGUUCUCUAGUACGGUACUGACGCUGAGACGCGAAAGCGUGGGGAGCGAACAGG